rnacentral:rRNA from 2 species
UACGAAGGGGGCGAGCGUUGUUCGGAUUUACUGGGCGUAAAGGGCGCGCAGGCGGCUCAUCAAGUCAGGCGUGAAAGCCCCGGGCUUAACCUGGGAGGUGCGUCUGGGACUGGUGGGCUAGAGUUCGGGAGAGGAGAGUGGAAUUCCCAGUGUAGAGGUGAAAUUCGUAGAUAUUGGGAAGAACACCGGUGGCGAAGGCGGCUCUCUGGACCGAGACUGACGCUGAGGCGCGAAAGCGUGGGGAGCAAACAGG